rnacentral:rRNA from 1 species
GAGUUUGAUCCUGGCUCAGAAUGAACGUUGGCGGCGUGGAUUAGGCAUGCAAGUCGAGCGAGAAGUGACCCUUCGGGGGAGCGGACAGCGGCGAACGGCGUAGUAAUAGAUAGGUAACGUGCCCCAAGGUCUGGGAUAGCUGCGGGAAACUGCAGGUAAUACCGGAUAAUCUCCUGAAGUCUAGUGGCUUUUGGAGCAAAGGUGAGAUUCCGUCUUGGGAGCGGCUUAUUGAGUAUUAGCUUGUUGGUGGGGUAACGGCCCACCAAGGCUUCGAUGCUUAGGGGGUGUUAGCGCAUGACCCCCACGACUGGGACUGAGAUACUGCCCAGACACCUACGGGUGGCUGCAGUCGAGAAUCUUCGGCAAUGGACGAAAGUCUGACCGAGCGACGCCGCGUGCGGGAUGAAGGCCCUUGGGUUGUAAACCGCUGUCAGAGGGGAUGAAAUUCUAGAGGGCUAUCCCUCUAGAUUGACAGAGCCUCAGAGGAAGCACGGGCUAAGUACGUGCCAGCAGCCGCGGUAAUA